UGAGCAAAACCGGCGCCUUUCUCCACCACU
rnacentral:piRNA from 1 species